GACGAGUCACCAAAUAUAGUAGAUCUUUAGUACAAUCCUACCUCCCCAUACCUUUAGCCCCACCGAAUUUUUUUUUGCAAAAGAAAAUAGUGUUAUUCCGAAAAUUUUCAGGUUUUAAAGACAUGUUUUGAGUAAGGAUGCGGUGACUUGGGAGAACUUUGCGAAACAUCAGUAUUUGUUUUAGCACCAUAAGCUUCGUAAAUAUAGGAAUCAUUCCCGAAACCCCAUAUACCAUGGCUUUAAUCAUCAUUUUCGUAUAAGUCCUCAGUAG
rnacentral:lncRNA from 1 species